rnacentral:lncRNA from 1 species
AGUUAAACCAGAGGAGGUACUUUUGUGUUGUGGCAUCCUUGGAAAUAAGGAGAACACCAGCCUUGGUGUAGUAUCUGCCUUUUGGCUGAAGCAGCAGAAUUCUUUAUUUGUUCUUAUGUUUAAUUGUGGGAAGCAAGUAAACGGCCAACAAAACUGGAAGCAGGAACAUAUUGCCCCAGUCUUCAAAAGGGGAGAGGGAUGAAAUUUGGCAAAAUACAGACUGAGUUUAACUUUGAUGGUGAGGAAAAUACUAGGCUAGAGCUAGAUUUAAAAAAAUCAGUUUGUAGGGCAGCAUGAAUUUGUGAAGAAUAAAACCAGCAAGAUUAAUUUUACCUCUCCCUCUUUUUUUUUUAAUCGGGUUUCUAGCUUAGUGGGUUGUGGAAAUGCUUUGGGUGCAAUGUAUCUUGACUUCAAGAAAGCAUAUGACAUUUUGGCUAGCAAACUAAUUGAAUGUGGGAUAGAAUAUAUGUGGGAUAGGUGGGUUCACAGCUGAUUGGGAAGCCAUACUCUGAGGGCUCAUCAAUUCUCUCCUGCACCUGAUACUAACUAAGAUUUUCAUCAGUUGCUUCAGUGAAGUGGUAGAGGUAAUUCUGAUUGUGUGGAUGGCACAAAACUAGGUCAGCUUAACACCUCAGAAGAGAGGAAUAAAAUUAGGAAAGGCCCUGACAGAAUGGGAAACUGAGAUGAAACUAAGAAAGUGGUAUUGAAUGCAAAGUCCCGCAUAUAAGCAAAAACAAAACUCCGCAAACCCACAAAUGUACAGAGACCGAAUGGGUGUGUUUGUGCGUGUGUGUGUGUGUGUGUGUGUGUGUGUACCUGAUUUGCAAGUAGUACAUGUGAAAAGGAUAUUGCAUCUCAUAACCAUGAACAAUCAGAACAGAGUGGGUUCAUUCUGAUGCAGCAGAUAUCAGCGCUUACCUCCUUAAGGGUUUGAUCAAACAAUAUAUAAGCUUAAAAAAUUGUCCAGUAGCACCUUAAAGUUAAAGGUACCCCUGCCCGUACCGGCCAGUCGUGACCGACUCUGGGGUUGCGCGCUCAUCUCGCUUAAGAGGCCGGGGGCCAGCGCUGUCCGAAGACACUUCUGGGUCACGUGGCCAGCGUGACGAAGCUGCUCUGGCAAGCCAGCACCAGCGCAGCACACGGAAACACCGUUUACCUUCCCGCUAUAAAGCGGUACCUAUUUAUCUACUUGCACUUAGAGGUGCUUUCGAACUGCUAGGUGGGCAGGAGCUGGGACCGAACGACGGGAGCUCACCCCGCCGCGGGGAUUCGAACCGCCGACCAUAUGAUCGGCAAGUCCUAGGCGCUGAGGUUUUACCUACAGCGCCACCCGCGUCCCUUAGAGACCAUCUAAGUUUGCAUGCACAUGAAAGAUUAUACCCAGAACAAAGGUAAAGGGACCCCUGACCAUUAGGUCCAGUCAUGACCGACUCUGGGGUUGCGACGCUCAUCUUGCUUUAUUGGCCGAGGGAGCCGGCGUACAGCUUCCGGGUCAUGUUGCCAGCAGGACUAAGCCGCUUCUGGCGAACCAGAGCAGCGCACGGAAACGCCGUUUACCUUCCCGCCAGAGCGGUACCUAUUUAUCUACUUGCACUUUGACGUGCUUUCGAACUGCUAGGUUGGCAGGAGCAGGGACCGAGCAACGGGAGCUCACCCCGUCGCGGGGAUUUGAACCGCCGACCUUCUGAUCGGCAAGUUCUAGGCUCUGUGGUUUAGCCCACAGCGCCACCCGGGUUCCAGAACAAACUUAGUUGGUCUCUAAUGUGCUACUGGACAAUUUAUUUUAUUUUUAAAUUUAUUUCGACUGCAUCAGACCAACACAGCUACCUACCUGAAUAUGUAAGCUGUGCAACUUUGAUAUUGUAGAAUCAUCUUCCAAAUCUAAAAAAGGGGAAAAAUGCACUUUUUGGGAUGUGUUUUCUGAUAUGAUUUUUUUAAAGGCAAUAGCUAUGAGUAUGUGACAGUGCAUUUGUUUCAGACAACAUACUCAUUAUGAGAAGCUAGUGUGGCAAACUCCCUUCACACUCAUUUCACCUUGUUUUUCCUCGCCACUCCAUCCCAUAACAGUCUGCGCAUGGGAGCUCAUCUCACCCCCGGCAACCCCUGUUCUCACUUCUUUUUCUCUUAGCAACUGUGUAGAAUGAUCGUAUUUGAAACAUUUACAUUCUCACCUUCUCCUCUCUCACCUUCUCCUCUCUCACCUUCUCUUCUUGGCAAAUGAAAGAGAAGAAGAAUUGCAUGAAGGCCAAAUGAAUCUCAGAAUGUCAACAGAGAAUGGUGGAGAGUGUGUGUGUUUGUGUGUGUGUACUGUCGUGAAUAGAAGAAACAUUUUAAAAAUAAUAACACUGGAACAAUUUAUUUUUCUGCCUGUUGAGAUCACACAAAAGGCUUGUCACAUAAUUUUCAGAACAUUGGGCCUAGCCUUGAGGCAACAGAAGUCGUUCAUUAAAUUGGGUAUAUGGUUUGCUUGAGUUCAAAUCUUCUUUGAAGUCCAUAUGCAAGCCAAACCUUUGAAGUCCAGAUAUGUCUUUCCCCAAAGGGCCGUCUUCCUUGCUGAAUGUCCUAUGAGACAUCAGCAGAAUAUUCCUUCUGCACAAUAUCUGUAUCUAAGCAUGUAGACCUUCUUGUCACACCUUAGCGAGUGAGGUUUCGAUGAUUCUGAAAGAUUUGAGGAACAACCAUCAAGCAGCUAAAAUAGGGUGGUCAUAGGCCUAAAUAUGAGUUGUUGUUGUUGUUGUUACUGUUGUUGUUUUUAAAAAAGAUAGGUUGUAUUUUUUAAUCAAGUAUUUAUCAUUAGUUUCCUAUAUUAAAAGUUUGAUUUGUACAUAAUAACAUCCAUUUAUUUAUUUAUUUAUUUAUUUAUACAUACAUACACACAUACAUACAUACAUACAUACAUACCCUGCCCAUCUGGGGUAUAAAUGAGAUUCCAGGGCAUCAACAACAGCCUUUAUUUGCUUAGGGGAGAACCAGAAUUAUUUGGGAGUUACAGGUCCAUCUAGACAUUCACUUGGGCAGAACAAAACUGUCUAGUCUAAAUGGAUAUCUCAGAUGAUGUGGAUAUAGCAGCCACACAGUCUUCAGAUUUAGGAAUUAAGGCAUUUUUAUAAUUGCAACUCUAGUUGGUUCUAUGUUGAUAAGACAAUUUGACCUGUGAGAGGUAGGAGUCAUGAACAUUGCAGCAAAAUGAGAAAAUCGUUUGAUUUUUUCCAUUUUCGUCAUUGGCAAUUGACCCAUGUUCGUAAUUGGCUCAAUAGUGUUUUAAGAUUGGUGGUUUGGAUAGCAGGGAGCUAACAGAGCCCGAUGGAUUCGCUGAAACACACUCGAUAUAGUCGGUGGUGAAGUUGCCAGGUAAUCAUUAGUUGUGGAGAUUGUCUUAAAAUAAAAACCUGAUCUAAGAUUGCUUUUUGUACAGAUUUUUUUUUUAAAAAUGCAUUAAUGAUAGACAGUUUUUUUACAGUUUUUUUAAAUCACCAUUUAUUCAUCAGUUAUCUUUACAUGUUCCUGUCUUCCUCUUGCACUAUACCUUUCUAGAUCUGAAAAUCAAUGUGUAUAUGCCACUCACCCCAUCGGUCAAUUUUGAGAAUACUUCUGGGUACACUCCACAACAUGGAACUCAAGGUACUUGUAUGACGUACACAUCUUACCCAUAGAUAUUCAUUUAGCCUUUCCCUGAAUACAGUGGGCUCUCAGAUAUUGUCUAGUCAACCUGCUCCUUUUAACUCCAGUCCUUGGGAAUUUCCCCCUCUAUCAUUAUACCAUGAAUCACCAUGAACAUUUUUUUAUAAGCACAAACUAAAUUCAGUUUCUGGUUAAUGUCAUUCUUUGGAAUGUCAUUUGCCUGCGCUGUCCCGAUGACUGGAACCAUGUGCUUAAAAAAGCUUUAAAAACCGCGGCCCCUGAGGUGACAUCCUUAGGAACAAUCCAGUACAUAAUGAAGAGAGACUUCACAAGAUGUGAUUUGGAGAAUUUCCCACCUCCAUUAGGUUUCACUGAUCGUGCAAUCCUUUCGUAUCUGGUGGGGCAUCCCAGGGCCAUAGGCAUGUUGGAUCUCCUUCUCUAGGCAAGAGAGAGCGCCAACCUCAGAGAGGGAGAUCUGAUGGCAGGUGGUCCUUCUUCACCGUCACAGCGCACCUCCACAGCCAAGACCCUACCGGUAGGGUUGAAAAGGGCAUGUGUCAUUUAAUGUAUAAGCUGCUCAGGACCAGAAAAGGCACGGAUCUGAAGGCUCCAUAGCCUUUCACUUCACAUGCCCUCAGAUCUAGCAAUAAAGUGGGUGGGGUCUAAUUUUUAACUGAAUUUUUAUCUAUUUUUUUUUAUUUCAUUUCUAUACCGCUUUAUAUAUUUUUUAAAAAUCUCAAAGCGGUUUACAGCAUAUUAAAACAUCAAUAAUGCAAUCUGAAGAAAGUCAAAUGUAGAGUACACAGUCAAAGCAACGUAAUGAACAGAAAACUAAAAUAGUAUCUUAAAGAUUUCAAAAUAAAGCAUUACAAAGGAGGUCAACUACAGCAUACAUAUUUAACAUAAACAAAGUUAACCAAAAAAGUUCUUGAACAUUUAAAAAAAAAAAAAUCCCAAGUGAAGUCAAAUGUAAAAUGCACAUUUAUAAAACAGCCUAAUUAUCAAGAGAAUAAAAUAUUAUCAUAAGCAUGACGCUGCUGUUUGGCAGGCACAAAAAGAUGGGGCAAAAGAAUCCAAUAGUUUGGGUUUGUCGCUCUGGUCUCAGCAGGCGUCUCUUCAGUGGGGCUGGUGAGUGUGGGCCCUGCCCCCUAGGCCAGGCGGAAAGGGCCUUGCAGGGGGCAGCCUUCACGACUCACAGUCGGGCGAUGUAUUUUAUAUUGUUAAGUAGCUUUGAGACAUUUUUGUAGAAAGCAACUAAGAAAUGUUAACAACAACAACAAUCUAUGUCCACUGUAAAAAGGUAAAGGACCCCAGGACAGUUAAGUCCAGUCAAAGGCGACUAUGGGGUUGCGGCACUCAUCUCACUGUCAGGCCGAGGGAGCCAGUGUUUGUCCAUAGACAGCUUUCUGGGUCAUGUGGCCAGGUUGACUAAACCGCUUCUGGUGCAACAAAACACCGUGACGGAAGACAGAGUGCAUGGAAACGCUGUUUACCUUCCCGCCGCAGUGGUACCUAUUUAUCUACUUGCACUGGCGUGCUUUCGAACUGCUAGGUUGGCAGGAGCUGUGACAGAGCAAUGGGAUCUUACCCCGUCAUGGGGAUUCAAACUGCCAACCUUUCAAUCGGGAAACCCAAGAGGCUCAGAGGUUUAGACCACAGCCCACUGUAGAGUGUCCAAGUCUCCUGUUAGCCUUUGAAGUAACUUUGAGGUGCCCAGCCCAACAACAUUCCCAUCACAGAAUAAUUUGUUGUUGUUGUUUAGUUGUGCCCAACUCUUCGUGACCCCCUGGACCAGAGCACGCCAGGCACUCCUGUCUUCCACUGCCUCUCGCAGUUUGGUCAAACUCAUGUUAGUAGAAUAACAUUAACCAACAUUUUGGACAACAAGGGAGGUCUGGAAUAAGGAGAUGAAGAGCCCACUGAUUCAGGGUCAGCAGAAAGCAGCAUAUUGAAACAUCCACACUUUAUCUCUGUUGGAGAUGAAUACAGCAGAAACUCAUAUUCUGGGGACUUGUCCCCAGAAUCAAUUUGAAAAGGAAACGAGGUUUAUGCCAAAAAUGAAUGGCACUUUGAUUCACAUGUUGUGGGCCUGCCCAACAGUGUCUUCUUUGUGGUCCAAAAUAAUCAUACCAGGGCUGGAGUGAGCAAUGGGGUGUGGGGUGGUGAGGGCAGGCGGAAGUGAAUUUGGAUUCUGUUAUGUACUGAAGUUCUCACCCUGGGCCAGCAGGGGGAUACUGUAGAUAGUUUUCACUCAGGUCCACAUAUGCAAAUAAGGGAUUGAAAGUGAUGUUCAGUGAUUGGAUAGUUACAGAAAGUGGUUACGGUUGCGUUCUAGUGGAGCUCUAUAUAAGCAGACUGGCUUCAGUUCAGUUCUGUUCUGGCCUGUGAAUAAACAAGACCUGUUUGAAGAAUCACUGUGUCGUCUGAUAUGUCCACCCACAACUUAACAGAUUCAUAAGUAAGGGAGCUGCACAAUGAAUGUCAUCAUCUGUAGAGAGAGGGGGGUUGGCUUACACUGAAUAGAAAUAGCAUAGGAACAUCUUCGUUUGGUGGGUGAGGUGGGAGAUGUUAACACUUUAUUUUGCUGCUGCGGUGUGCAGCAGCAGUGGCAACAUCACAACUCGGCUUUGGUGAAUUGCCUACCAUAUUGUUAACCCACAGACGAUCUGAGUGCAGCGUGGGGUGGAGAGUGGGGAAGCAGUGUCUGCCAGUGGGAGGUGCACCAUAUUUUACAUGCACUUUGCAAAAGAGUAUUGGGAAGGGAGGGGCAGGGACCCAUGCCGUCGCCACUGUAGGCAGCAAAUGCUGGUGUGCGCCACCCACUGCCAGGGGGAAAUCCCAGCCAUUGGUUGUACAAAUCAAUUUGCUGUAGCAGAUGGCCAGCUGAGUGAGAAGAACUUGCAUCUACAAGGGUAGAAACACUAGACGGAAAUACAAGCCAAAGACACAUACAGACCAAAGCACUUUCCAGGUUUGGCAGUAUAAGAAUCAAGCCAAGCAUGAUGCUAAAAGUGACAGUGAGAACUGGAUCAGAUUUUAUGUCAGCAUUCAGGAAGGGUAUGUUUAAUCCAUCCACCCAAAGCCAUGAUCCUGAUAAAUACCCCCUGCAUUGGGUUAUGAGACUUAGGGGGUGGAAGCUCCUGUUCGUUCCCACUGUCAAGAUCAUGGAUGGGGAGGGAAGGGUUAAUACUCCCCUCCUAGCAUGGUGUAAUCCGGAUAAAAAUUGACCCCUGUGCCGGGGUAACCAAUAUGGCACCCUCUAGUUCUUCUUCAUCAUCUUUGUUUGUUGUUUUGUUUUGUUUUGUUUUGUUUUGUUUUGUUUUGUUUUGUUUUGUUUUGUUUUGUUGGUUGGUUUGAAACAUCUAUAUCCUGCUUUUCAGCAUGUAGAACUCAAAAUUUCUUACAUCAAUAAAAUGCACAAUAUGCAAAACUUCAAGCAUAAAUUAUUAUCUUUCCACAAAUUUAUUUAUUUGGUUUUACAUAAUAAAGUUUACAAUCAUACUACAACACAUUCCAAAAGGAAACCAAGAUUCCGACGAACCUUUGGACUUCCCAGCUCCCCCUCCAUGGGUCCUAUUGUUAAACCUUUUCUUCUGCAUCUUUUUAUAAUAAUCCAAAUCUUUAUAUUUCCAUUGUAUCCAUAGUUCUCGUUACAUUACAAGUGUUAUUCCAAUCCCACUAAUGAUUUUAACUGUUUACAAUGGUCUCCAAGGUAACUUAUAAAUUUCCCCCAUUCCGUCUUCAAGUUUUGGUCUUCCUGGUUUCUGGUCAAGCGUCAAUUAAACCUAGAGAUUUUUUUCUUUUUUUUAAAGAGCACCUGAGAAGCAUUCAAGAUUCAGGGGCCUCCUGAAAUAAAACAGUUUUGAUGAGGCAUCUAAAACUCAGUAGGAACGAUGCCUAUCAAACUUCUUGUGGGGUAGGGGAGAGUUCCAUAGAGUUGGGCCCACAACGCCUAAGCCAUUACUCCGUAUUGUCAUGAUCCAUGCUUCUGGCCCAAAGGGAACUACUAAUAGUACUCCCCUCCAAUGGUCUCAGUGAUUACGUGGGGCAUGCGGGGUAAGGCAGUCCUUAAAGUAUCCUGGGCCUAAAUUCUUCAGUGCUUUCUAAACUAGUACAAGAACCUCAAAGCUGGCCUUGUAGCAGACAGGAAACCAGUGCAGGCCUCUUAACACAGGUGCUGUUAUGUCCUGAAGUUCUCACCCUGGGGCAGCAGGGGGAUACCGUAGAUAGUUUUCACUCAGGUCCACAUAUGCAAAUAAGGGGUUGAAAGUGACAUUCAGUGAUUGGAUAGUUACUGAAAAUGGUUACUGUUGCGUUCUAGUGAGCUCUAUAUAAGCAGGCUGGCUGAACCCUUCAGUUCAGUUCUGUUCUGGCCUGUGAAUAAACAAGAGCUGUUUGAACAAUCGCUGUGUCGUCUGAUAUGUUCCCCCACAACUUAACAGGUGCCAUGUUUUUGUGGUAGUUUGUUCCCAUCACCAGUCUAGCCGCAGCAUUUUGCACUAGCUGGAGCUUCCUGGACCAGACUCAAUGGCAGCCCCACAUAGAGCACGUCUGGCCUUAAGAGUAUCUUGUUGUUGGCCACGCUCAUUGGGGCUGAUGGAAGCUGGAGUCUAAUGUCAUCUGCAGGGCACCAUGUUGGCUUCCCUCCGCAGUAGUUUAUUUUAAAAGCAACUACGAGAAACCUAUCUUAUGAUCAGGAAUUUGUAUGUUCAGACCUCUGAUGGACUACCGUAUUUUUCGCUCUAUAAGACGCACCAGACUGUAAGAUGCACCUAGUUUUUGGAGGAGGAAAACAAGAGAUAAUAAAAAAUAAUAUUCUGAAUCUCAGAAGCCAGAACAGCAAGAGGGAUCACUGUGCAGGCUUGCAGAACAGCAAGAGGGAUCACUGUGGCUUCUGGGAUAGCUGCGCAGCCUGUAUUCGCUCCAUAAGACGCACACACAUUUCCCCUUACUUUUUGGGAGGGAAAAAGUGAGUCUUAUAGAGCAAAAAAUACGGUACAUGUUCCUCCACUGGCGACUAAAAUGACCACCAAGGGGCAGUAGAGCUGAAAGGACUGAGAGCUGAAUGGAAAUAUGGCUGCGUUUAAUGGUGGUGUAAGCAUUCCUCCAUUCAUGACAGCAACCAAUACUCAGUAUUAUUACUGUUAUUUCAAAUGAACAUAUACUCUGUUGCUUUGUUAUUCACUGCCUGAGUACUGGUUCCAGGGCUUUCAUUGUACUUUAAUUGAGCCUAUUCCUGAAAUUGAAGACAGCAAAUCACUGGUCUUUUCUCUUCAUUCCCUCAGCUGCUUCCUGUGCCUUUUAGCCAACAUAUAACUCUUGAGCCUUUUGCGUCUCUUACCUUUCAGCUCUCAGUGUUUAUUAUUUCAUUCCGUUCUGUUCUUGAAAUUGUGGCAGGGCUGCUGUUAGAGAAACAUGGACAUAAAACCUUCACAGUUAGGCACGUCUCCUUUCUCUUCAUUUUGUAAAGCUGUCACAAAGCCAGCCACGGUGACAGCAAAAAAGAGCAAAGCUUUUACUCCUGCUUACAAGUGGCUGCCUGGUCAGGUGCUUGGUAAAUUGUUUCAGUUGCUUUAUUCCCCUGCACCAGUUACAGACGUUGUGCCGUUGGUACAUUGGUGUGGCUCCAUGCUCCCAGCUUGCAUCUGUCAAAAAAGCAGCUCCUGUUGCAAGACUCCAAGUGUGUUGCAUCUAACUGCUAAAUGAAUAGAGUUUUGUAAUGGGUUUUUCACUAUCCGAGACUGAUUUUUUCUUUUUUUAAAUCCCAAACAUUAAAUCUCAACUUCAGGAGAAAAUCCAAAUUCCUAUUAACCUAAAUACAAUCCAUGCUGCAACCUGGUGAUCUUUCAGCAUUGUGUCUUGUGUUUCUGAGUGUGGUCUGGACAGAAAUCUCUCACUCUUCCACUUCCCAAUCACGGUUUUGCUCAGUCUCUUAUCACUGGAGCCUUUCGUUCUUUUUAAUGGCAAAUCGGUGCCAUUGCACCAGCAGGAGGGGGAACUAAAAUGAAGCGUGAUGACUGCUAGUCUGGAUGUGCCAAAGUAGAAAGAAAGAUGGUUGUAGCCAGUGCUUUUUUCCUGGGGAGAUGCAGGGGUACGCACACCCCUAAACAUUUUGUGAAUCUUUGUACUUUUGUCCAUUUGCUGUAUUUAUUUUCCCUGAUUUGAACUAUAAAAUGGCGAUUUUAUUGAGUCAAAAUGAGAGUACCCCUAAACAUUUUUUUAGGGAAAAAAGCACUAAAUGGAGUUGCCUCCCACUUACUCUGGUGGUAGAACGCAUCUUUUGUUUGCUUGAGUUCCCACAUUCAAACCCACAGCAUCUCUAGGUUAGAAAGUAUCUACAGCACAGAGCUGGGAAAUAAUUCUCUUCUUGGAAACCUGCAGCGUGGUCUAACAAUUCCAUGCACAGAGUGAGUCAGCCUUGUUCUCUCAUCUGUCAUAUCAAGCAAGGGGCACCUCGUGUCACCCUCAGGGAAGAGGAAGAUUUCAGAUUCUCCAGAGGCUUACAACCAUCAAGAGGACUCUUUUCAGUUUGAGUUUUUGAACCUAAUUUGAAUGCAGUUAUUGGACUAUAUUUUUUCUGUUUUGGUUUUCAUGUUUUGUCUCUUUUACAUAACAUAAAAAUGCAUGUACAUUUACUUGAGUAUGCAAUUCAUCUUGUGUUUUUUUUUAUUAGAUCACGGAACUGCAGUAAGACAUGAACCCGUCUUUCGAAGAAUUCUGAUGGAAGACAGCAUCAUCUGAUAUCAGAAAGAUUUGUGAAAUCCCUGGGUGGAUCUUGUGCUCCGCAUGUGUGUGUGUGUGUGUGUGCACAUGUGUGCACAUGUGUGCAUUGUGUGCAUGUGUUCUCGUUCUCUCUGUUUCACACACACCCAUGUGCGUGCACACAAACACACACACACACACACACACACACACACACACACUGCUGCCUCUAACUGGCCAUGCAUUAAACCGACUAGAUGUGUAAAAUCAUCUCUGAAAGGACAUAGUUAACAGAUGUGUGUAUGUGCAAUUUGAAAAGUGUAACAUAAGCAAGGUACCUUGGGAUUCUUUCCUUUUAUUUAUACAUUAAAGUGUGAAUAUUUUCUGUUACGAAGGUUCAGGUUCAUUUAUAGCUUCAGAGUGCAACUGAGAUGUACGAGAAUUUAUCAAGCCCUCGUACUCUUCUGCACAUUGCUCUGUGUGGCAGAC